GAAAUUGUUCAACGUUCAAGGAAUUUUGUGUUUCCCAAGAAUAAAAAGAUAUCAUCUUAACAAAUACUUUUUUUCAGGGAUCCCUGACCCAAAAAUAGGACUAACCCAAUUCCUUCACAUAUUUAUUUGGAAUCCCUACUAACGUGGUUCAGCCUCGGAUCAGGAAUUUAACCCACAGAUACCGGCGGAUUAGCAAAUUGCAAAUAAUGCCGUGCAAGCUGUAAAACAAUUGCGAAGAGAAAUUGUUGAAAUCAUGUCUCAGCCCUUGUGUUUGGCCAAAUCGAAAAUUCCGAAAGGAAUGAUGCCUUUGUGUAAUAAAAUAAUUUCCAAAACAAAAGCCCUCCUGAACAUCUGAAAUCUCGACUAGUUGAAGAACCAUUUUCAUUCAUUGAACAACAUGGUAUAAUUGAAGAACCCGACAACAGGAUGAUGGUAAGCACCUUUAUAUAUAAAGAAAAACUGCCCACUUCUCGUCACUUUUGUUUUUCUAGCAACAUGCAAAUGAGUUGGAUGUUCUCAUAACCAAAAUUCAACAUAUAACUUCGAUAUUGAAAAUCUGUUGCCUCCUCCGAAAUACUCCUCCAUAAUUUGUCAGAGUGUGAUUUCUAGAUGCAAAAAAUUAUGAGCACUAGUCCAUCGUCCAACUGAAGAACCAGAACCUCUAGAUCUCACUCAAAAUUAAAUUUGUAUGAGAGAGUUCUGCUAUUCGUUUGCGACAUCCAAAAUAUGAGGCAACAAAACGUGGAGGAAUUUCAACACAAACAACUGAUGUGGCUAAUCAAGAUCAGUUUCCUCCUCUAGAAAGUAAUAUUAUUGAUGAUGAUGCAGCAGUGGGUUCAGGAAAUGACCUCGAUUAAGAACUCGCUAAAAGUUUAAAAGCAGAAGAAGAAGUGCAAGCACAUUUGAAGAAAGCAAAUAAACUCACUGAUGGGUUAGAUUUAUCAAUGAUGUAUUUUGGACGAGCUGGAGGAUUUUGAACCUAGCUUCAUGAGUGAUGUGCAAUUUACAGUCUUGCUCUUUGAUGUACGCAGUACACAGCUAAUAGAUGAAUAGAUAGACAUGUUGGCUCACAACUUAAUAGUUUUUAAAUUGAAAUCUCAUUCUCCGUUUUCGAUUAUAAGAGUCCAUUCUCUGUGACAAUCUGCCUGGCAUUGAUGAACAACUACUUCAGAUUGCAGAAAAACUUCACAUAUAGUAGUACCUCCAAUUGAAGUAAACGUAUGUGGUUUGGAAAUAAUGAACGAUGAUCCUAGUUCUGUUGCUGUUCUUUUGCAUAGAAUCUUCCGGUCUUCAAGUGCUCGCCUAUAAAAUAUUACAAAAAUUUAAAGAAGCUCGUCUGAAUAACGAUGAAUAUCGAGAUGCACAUAACUCUUAUUAUGCCCGUCGUACACCUAGCGCUCGACGCGAAUUAACCAAAUUAAUUGUAAAAAAUCGACGCCACUAUACGUAUACUUUUUAAUUAAUUCGUUUAGCAGCGAUCUCCAACUGUCUAAAACUCGUUAUUUGAAUAUAAUUGAAAGGACCAUCAAUUAGAAUUUAAGGUUUUAAAUUUGCGUUGAAUGCGUUGAGCGCUAGGUGUACGACGGGCAUUAUGAAUCUUCGGGGUCGCUUGCAAAGAGAUCCAUCAAGUUUAAGCACUUUCGAUGCAAGGGUUUUUUGUAAGAAGUAUGCUGUUUAUGAUUUUGGAAAGUUUACUGUUAACGAAGUGCAUUUAUCCCAAAUGCAUACAACUGGAGCAAAUAGAUUUUAUAUUGCAACAGGAAUACUUACUGUAGGGAUGCAAUUUUAUUUUAUUUAUAAUGUAAUUAAAAUUUCUAUUUUGUGUUACCUUUUAAAAAAAAAACUACAAAUAAAUAAAAACCUUG